rnacentral:rRNA from 1 species
UACAGAGGUCUCGAGCGCUGUUCGGAUUCAUUGGGCGUAAAGGGGGCGUAGGUGGCGCUGUAAGUCGGGUGUGAAAUCCUGAGGCUUAACCUCGGAACUGCAUUCGAUACUGCGGUGCUUGAGGACUGGAGAGGAGACUGGAAUUCAUGGUGUAGCAGUGAAAUGCGUAGAGAUCAUGAGGAAGACCAGUGGCGAAGGCGGGUCUCUGGACAGUUCCUGACACUGAGGCACGAAGGCCAGGGGAGCAAACGGG